CACCAGCCCCUCGAGUGGUGGGGAUGAUUAUUUGGCCUAAAGCGUCCGUAGCCGGCCGGGUAAGUUUCCCGUUAAAUCCAAUGUCUCAAGCAUUGGACUGCGGGAAAUACUGCCUGGCUAGAGAGUGGGAGAGGUGUACGGUAUUCUGGGGGUAGGGGCGAAAUCCUUUGAUCCCCGGAGGACCACCAGUGGCGAGGGCUGUACACUAGAACACGUCUGACGGUCAGGGACGAAAGCUGGGGUAGCGAACCGGAUUAGAUACCCGGGUAGUCCCAGCUGUAAACGAUGCAUGCUAGGUGUUGGGUUGGCCACGAGCCACCCCAGUGCCGCAGGGAAGCCGUUAAGCAUGCCGCCUGGGAAGUACGAUCGCAAGAUUGAAACUUAAAGGAAUUGGCGGGGAGCACCACCAGGCGUGAAGCCUGCGGUUU
rnacentral:rRNA from 1 species